CUAUGUAAUCUCAAAUCUUUUUUUCGAUUGAAUUUUUUAUUGAAUACUUACAAAAUAUUUGUAAUAUUGGAUCGUGUCCCCUUUUUGAAAGAUCGUCUGCAUGACCAGGUAAAGCAUUUUAAUUGUAAAUCCAUUGGGAAAGGAAACAUUGUAUGAACGUAAAGUUCUGUGAAACUGGAGGUAAGCCCACAUACCAUGGAACCACUUUUAAACAGAAGGCAUAAUGUUUAAAAUGUCCAAACUUAAAAUGUUUUUAUUGAUACCUAGAAACUUUCUGAAGCUGCGAGUUGGUGAUAAGCACAGUGCAGCAUGGCAAGUGCAAAGCCUCACACAUGAAAAUCAACACUCGAGCAGCUGUGGAGUUCUAAUUUUGAAGUUUGCAGAACUGUAUCUUGUAAAAAGCAGCGUUUAAGAUGUGAAGACAAGUGAAAGUGCUAUAUCUUUGGCUAGAAUGGAGAUUGUAUGUGCACUGCUAAAAUAUUGAGGAAAUGCAGAGGACUACAAUGUGGUGUGUUUCAUGUUGGAAGUUAAUGCUGAAAAAAGCAUAAUUGAAAUGGUAAGGAAUCUUAUUCAUCCCACACAUUCAGUUUAUAUCUAUACUUU